ACGGAGGGGGCUAGCGUUGUUCGGAAUUACUGGGCGUAAAGAAUGCGUAGGUGGUUUAGUAAGUUGGAAGUGAAAGCCCGAGGCUUAACCUCGGAACUGCUUUCAAAACUACUAAUCUAGAGUGUAGUAGGGGAUGAUGGAAUUCCUAGUGUAGAGGUGGAAUUCUUAGAUAUUAGGAGGAACACCGGUGGCGAAGGCGGUCAUCUGGGCUACAACUGACACUGAUGCACGAAAGCGUGGGGAGCAAACAGGA
rnacentral:rRNA from 1 species